GAGGGGAAUAUUGGACAAUGGGCGCAAGCCUGAUCCAGCCAUGCCGCGUGAGUGAUGAAGGCCCUAGGGUUGUAAAGCUCUUUCAACGGUGAAGAUAAUGACGGUAACCGUAGAAGAAGCCCCGGCUAACUUCGUGCCAGCAGCCGCGGUAAUACGAAGGGGGCUAGCGUUGUUCGGAAUUACUGGGCGUAAAGCGCACGGAGGCGGAUCGAUCAGUUAGGGGUGAAAUCCCGGGGCUCAACCCCGGAACUGCCUCUAAUACUGUCGAUCUCGAGUUCGAGAGAGGUGAGUGGAAUUCCGAGUGUAGAGGUGAAAUUCGUAGAUAUUCGGAGGAACACCAGUGGCGAACGCGACUGACUGGACAAGUAUUGACGCUGAGGUGCGAAAGCGUGGGGAGCAAACAGGAUUAGAAACCCCUGUAGUCC
rnacentral:rRNA from 1 species